AUUGAACGCUGGCGGCAUGCUUUACACAUGCAAGUCGAACGGUAACGCGGGGGCAACCCUGGCGACGAGUGGCGAACGGGUGAGUAAUACAUCGGAACAUGUCCUGGAGUGGGGGAUAGCUCGGCGAAAGCCGGAUUAAUACCGCAUACGCUCUGAGGAGGAAAGCGGGGGACUCGUAAGGGCCUCGCGCUGCAGGAGUGGCCGAUGUCGGAUUAGCUAGUUGGUGGGGAAAGCCCACCAAGGCGACGAUCCGUAGCUGGUCUGAGAGGAUGAUCAGCCACACUGGGACUGAGACACGGCCCAGACUCCUACGGGAGGCAGCAGUGGGGAAUUUUGGACAAUGGGGGCAACCCUGAUCCAGCCAUGCCGCGUGAGUGAAGAAGG
rnacentral:rRNA from 1 species